rnacentral:rRNA from 1 species
UACAGAGGGUGCGAGCGUUGUUCGGAAUUAUUGGGCGUAAAGGGCGCGUAGGCGGCUUGGCAAGUGGAAGGUGAAAUCCCUCGGCUUAACCGAGGAACUGCCCUCCAAACUGCUUCGCUUGAGACCGGGAGAGGUGAGUGGAAUUCCCAGUGUAGCGGUGAAAUGCGUAGAUAUUGGGAGGAACACCAGUGGCGAAGGCGGCUCACUGGACCGGUACUGACGCUGAUGCGCGAAAGCGUGGGGAGCAAACGGG